rnacentral:lncRNA from 1 species
GGGUGUGGAUCCUUCUUGGGCAUCCCACCUGCUGGUGUGAGGUGUCACACCAACACAUCUCAUCCUUUGAUUGAUUGAGUUACGAGGAUAAUUGGAUUGGAGUUCAUCCUACUUUCCUAUGGUGUCUGACGUGCAUGCGAAGUAGAGGAUUUGCACAUCCAGGCUUUUACGAAAGUUUAUAUCAAAUAAUUUGAGAUUUGAUUCCUGGUUUCACUAUGAUUCAGGUAAGGAUUUAAUUCUUAAAUAAAUAGAAUAUCAAAAAAAAAUUUAGAUGCAAUCUGGACAUUCUGAAGGAAAACUGUUCCCUUCUCUUCAAUAUUCUACACCACUAUCACUUGGUGCGAGAG